AUCGGUUCAACUGAAGACACUGAGGAGAAAGCACUUCCGGAACCCCUUCAUGGAGGCAGAACAAUGGCCUAAGAGCGGAUUCCAAGCAAGCAGAAUAUUGAAGGGUGUUGAUGACAACGUCUUUUAUACACAAUCUACAUCUGCUGCAUGUGGAAGAACAGAAGCUUCUUUUCAGCUUUUCCUAUCAGUGCUUUGAAUGUGACAAAGCAGACCUUUCUGACAAGUGGAGAGAACAACUUCAGUGUGUGUGAGCC
rnacentral:lncRNA from 1 species